rnacentral:rRNA from 1 species
UACGAAGGGGGCUAGCGUUGUUCGGAUUAACUGGGCGUAAAGCGCACGUAGGCGGAUCUUUAAGUCAGGGGUGAAAUCCCGAGGCUCAACCUCGGAACUGCCUUUGAUACUGGAGAUCUCGAGUUCGGGAGAGGUGAGUGGAACUGCGAGUGUAGAGGUGAAAUUCGUAGAUAUUCGCAAGAACACCAGUGGCGAAGGCGGCUCACUGGCCCGAUACUGACGCUGAGGUGCGAAAGCGUGGGGAGCAAACAGG